AGUGAACGCUGGCGGUAGGCCUAACACAUGCAAGUCGAACGGCAGCACAGUAAGAGCUUGCUCUUACGGGUGGCGAGUGGCGGACGGGUGAGGAAUACAUCGGAAUCUACUUUUUCGUGGGGGAUAACGUAGGGAAACUUACGCUAAUACCGCAUACGACCUACGGGUGAAAGCAGGGGAUCUUCGGACCUUGCGCGAUUGAAUGAGCCGAUGUCGGAUUAGCUAGUUGGCGGGGUAAAGGCCCACCAAGGCGACGAUCCGUAGCUGGUCUGAGAGGAUGAUCAGCCACACUGGAACUGAGACACGGUCCAGACUCCUACGGGAGGCAGCAGUGGGGAAUAUUGGACAAUGGGCGCAAGCCUGAUCCAGCCACACCGCGUGGGUGAAGAAGGCCUUCGGGCUGUAAAGCCCUUUUGUUGGGAAAGAAAAGCAGCAGGUUAAUACCCCGCUGUUCUGACGGUACCCAAAGAAUAAGCACCGGCUAACUUCGUG
rnacentral:rRNA from 1 species